rnacentral:rRNA from 1 species
ACGCUGGCGGCAUGCCUUACACAUGCAAGUCGAACGGCAGCACGGGAGCAAUCCUGGUGGCGAGUGGCGAACGGGUGAGUAAUAUAUCGGAACGUGCCCGGUCGUGGGGGAUAACGUAGCGAAAGCUACGCUAAUACCGCAUACGAUCUACGGAUGAAANCGGGGGAUCGCAAGACCUCGCGCGAUUGGAGCGGCCGAUAUCAGAUUAGGUAGUUGGUGAGGUAAAGGCUCACCAAGCCGACGAUCUGUAGCUGGUCUGAGAGGACGACCAGCCACACUGGGACUGAGACACGGCCCAGACUCCUACGGGAGGCAGCAGUGGGGAAUUUUGGACAAUGGGCGCAAGCCUGAUCCAGCAAUGCCGCGUGCAGGAUGAAGGCCUUAGGGUUGUAAACUGCUUUGUACGGAACGAAACGGUGAGCUCUAAUACAGUUUGCUAAUGACGGUACCGUAAGAAUAAGCACCGGCUAACUACGUG